rnacentral:rRNA from 1 species
AUUGAACGCUGGCGGCAUGCCUUACACAUGCAAGUCGAACGGUAACAGGUCUUCGGAUGCUGACGAGUGGCGAACGGGUGAGUAAUACAUCGGAACGUGCCUAGUGGUGGGGGAUAACUACUCGAAAGAGUGGCUAAUACCGCAUGAGAUCUACGGAUGAAAGCAGGGGAUCGCAAGACCUUGUGCUACUAGAGCGGCCGAUGGCAGAUUAGGUAGUUGGUGGGAUAAAAGCUUACCAAGCCGACGAUCUGUAGAUGGUCUGAGAGGACGAUCAGCCACACUGGGACUGAGACACGGCCCAGACUCCUACGGGAGGCAGCAGUGGGGAAUUUUGGACAAUGGGCGCAAGCCUGAUCCAGCAAUGCCGCGUGCAGGAUGAAGGCCUUCGGGUUGUAAACUGCUUUUGUACGGAACGAAAAGCCCUGGGUUAAUACCCUGGGGUCAUGACGGUACCGUAAGAAUAAGCACCGGCUAACUACGUGCCAGCAGCCGCCGCCGUAA